CUCCUUCUUUAUUCCCCCUUGCAGGUUUAUUGUCACUUACAGUACCAACCACAUCAGGAGAGCCAUUAAACAUCAGCUGUUCCACCUUGGAUUCCAGAUGUUCUGCUAUCCACGUGACAGAUUCAGAGAGGGCACCUCGCACAGAGAUCUUGGCAGAACAAUAUGUUGACUUGUAGAUUAUAGGUAUACAA